ensembl:misc_RNA Metazoa_SRP Metazoan signal recognition particle RNA
GCCGGGCGUGGUGGCGCGUGCCUAUGGUCCCAGCUACUCGGGAGGCUGAGGUAGGAGGAUUGCUUGAGCCCAGGAGUUCUGGGCUGUAGUGCGCUAUGCCAAUCGGGUGUCCGCACUAAGUUCAACAUCAAUAUGGUGACACCCCCGGGGGCGGGGGACCACCAGGUUGCCUAAGGAGGGGUGAACCGACCCAGGUCGGAAACGGAGCAGGUCAAAACUCCCGUGCUGAUCAGUAGUGGGAUCGCGUCUGUGAAUAGCCACUGCACUCCAGCCUGGGCAACAUAGCGAGACCCCAUCUCUA